ACCCUAGUGUGGAUUUGCCAUCGGCCCAGCAAGAGGCUCAACAGGACCAAGCGCCGUGUCGUGCACUUUGGUCAUGCCAACCCCAUGCCAGCUUCUCCAGGAUUUGGCUGAGAUAGAAUUCCAACCACCAACGGAUUUCUCGAACGCUGGGGUGCCCUUUUGGAAUCCUAUGGUCUUGUGACGUGGUCUUGCCUCCCCACCUUGCCCAUCCAUGGUGGAGCAGCCGGGUGGCCCUUAGUGAUGUCACAAGCGGCUAGAAUGAGGGGAGGAGCAGCGCGUGCUGCUUCCCUUCAUUGGAGCGCUUGAGCUCAGCGUGAGUACGUGGCUUGUUGCACUUGUGCAUCGAGUGAGUCUGUUCGUCUUCAGCCUGUCUUGCGCAGCGUCUUGUAGGUAAGCUGAGCCGGUGCGGGAUAGACGGGUGGGCUCAAAGGCUUGAGAAGUGCUGGCUGGCAGAGCUCCUAGGAUCAUAUUGCUUAGUCUGGACCGUCAGACGCCAUUUUCCCGCAGGCCAUCCAUCCAUCAAGGUGGCAUUUGUGCCACGGUUUUUCCCUCGCCUUCCUUGCUAAAUUGUGCAGGCUCACUGACCUGCUCUUCCUCUGUCCCCUCCCCACCCUCCGCCUGCUCCCUUGGUGCAGCUUUUGCUCGCGGAAGAUCAGAGCAAAGUGACAAGGACCGGCUGCGGGUUUGAGGAUCUUCUUCUCCCUUGUUCUGAUCUCUUGCCAGGUACGUGCCAUGCUUUGUAUUGCCACAUGGUUCGGCAGCCCGUGUUUAGUCGCACCGUGUGUAGUAACACAGGCUCGUCCAGCUGGGAUGCGGCACUGGUCACGCGUGGGUUUUUUCCACUUCCCCUCCAGCUCAGCCCUCGGCAGGAUGCUGCCUGUAGUGCUGGGAGCAGCUAGUGUGAAGGAAAGCAAUCCCUUAGGCAAAGAGCCCUAGCCGCAGUUUGUGCAGGGCUGCACAGCAUGAGCCAGGGGCAGAAGCGUGCAUGCUUUGUCUGUGGGAGUGUGCCCGACAGCUGUAGGGAGCACAGCGGGCAUGCAGGCAGAGGAAAUGCGUGGGCAAGGCUGUCCCGUUUGAAUAGACUGCACAGAGUGGUUGUUUGUAGAACACCUGCCUCCGCCAGUGGGCAACUGAGAGUAGUUCUGAAGAGGACUCUCAAUGCAGUGCUGUGUGAACACAGGAAAUGUGUUUCUUUUCUGUUGCAGCUUGUCGAGCCUGCUGUGAUGGGCAUCGCGAGCAGCAAGAUCAGCUGUGGGCCUGACCUGGCAUGGACAGAGGUAUGGUGUGAAGCUGUGAUUGGUCUUUGUUCCCUGACUUGAACCCGCAGUGUGAGCCACAGGUGUGCUCUCCUGCUUUUCAAGAUAGAGAGAGAGAGAGCAUCCUUCCGGCUCUCUUGGUGUCACUGAAGAGCUGCCUUGAAAGCUUCAUUUCCUUGCUAGUGGCAUGUAGAUGGCACCCUGCAAUCCUCCUUGUUUGUCC
ensembl:lncRNA